rnacentral:misc_RNA from 1 species
AAGUCGUAACAAGGUUUCCGUAGGUGAACCUGCGGAAGGAUCAUUAACACUUUUAAUUCAGGGUCUGGUUUUCUUUUUUUCUUUAAAAAAAAGAAAGAAACCGGCCUAAUCCAAACCAAAUUACCCAAAAACUUUACAAAAGUGCUGGUGUUUUGCAAUUCAUUUUUGCAAAACCAUUUUUCUCUUUAUUUUCAUUUAUCAAUAACCCCAAAUCUUUUCAUUGCAAAUGCAAUUGACAAAUCUUAAACAAAAAACUACUAAUGUAACCAAACAACUCUUAGCAACGGAUAUCUUGGCUCUU